CUUACAGUAUUUACUAUAUAACAGACACCAGACUCCAUCUAAUCUUGGAAACUAAGCAAGGUCAGCCAUGGUUAGUACUCGGAUGGGGUGCCACCAAUGAAUACCAGGUGCUGUGACC
rnacentral:rRNA from 1 species